UGGGGAAUAUUGCACAAUGGGCGAAAGCCUGAUGCAGCAACGCCGCGUGAGUGAUGAAGGUCUUCGGAUUGUAAAGCUCUGUCUUUUGGGACGAUAAUGACGGUACCAAAGGAGGAAGCCACGGCUAACUACGUGCCAGCAGCCGCGGUAAUACGUAGGUGGCGAGCGUUGUCCGGAUUUACUGGGCGUAAAGGGUGCGUAGGCGGAUGUUUAAGUGAGAUGUGAAAUACCCGGGCUUAACUUGGGUGCUGCAUUUCAAACUGGAUAUCUAGAGUGCAGGAGAGGAGAAUGGAAUUCCUAGUGUAGCGGUGAAAUGCGUAGAGAUUAGGAAGAACACCAGUGGCGAAGGCGAUUCUCCGGACUGUAACUGACGCUGAGGCACGAAAGCGUGGGUAGCAAACAGGAUUAGAUACCCUGGUAGUCCACGCCGUAAACGAUGAGUACUAGGUGUAGGAGGUAUCGACCCCUUCUGUGCCGCAGUAAACACAUUAAGUACUCCGCCUGGGAAGUACGAUCGCAAGAUUAAAAC
rnacentral:rRNA from 1 species